CCUACGGGAGGCAGCAGUGAGGAAUAUUGGACAAUGGGGGCAACCCUGAUCCAGCAACGCCGCGUGAGUGAUGAAGGCCUUCGGGUUGUAAAGCUCUGUUGAUGGGGAAGAAGGAAGUGACGGUACCCAUCGAGGAAGCACCGGCUAACUCCGUGCCAGCAGCCGCGGUAAUACGGAGGGUGCGAGCGUUGUUCGGAAUUACUGGGCGUAAAGGGGGCGUAGGCGGUUUGUUAAGUCAAAUGUGAAAGUCCACGGCUUAACGGUGGAAGUGCAUUUGAGACUGGCAGGCUAGAGUUUCGGAAGGGAAAGUGGAAUUCCUGGUGUAGGAGUGAAAUCCGUAGAUAUCAGGAGGAAUACCGGUGGCGAAGGCGACUUUCUG
rnacentral:rRNA from 1 species